rnacentral:lncRNA from 1 species
CACAAAUGAUGACAAAUUUUCUGAAAGGGAGAGAGUUUGAGUACAAGUCUUUGUUUCAUUGUAGGGCAUGCUUCACUGCUCUCCAAAACAGAAUUUGUUCUGUUUUUUAUGAUCUUGCGCUGAUAAUACGUGCGUAAACCUACCUUAAUCAUGUAAAAGCUUUCACCAGCUUGUUGAAUUUUCAUACAGAUGGAGCUCAUUGCAAAAGUAAGGAACCCUUACAUUGUGGAGUACAAAGAGGCUUGGGUAGAGAAGGUGAGCAUGGUCUCCUGCCCUUGCUGUGGACAGUGGCAGCAUCCUAAGGGCAAUCUUCGGUCUUGUUCCUUUCCUUGAUGUAACAAUGGUCCUGAUGAAGGAUGUAUAUGUUCACAAUUGCUUGAAAAGGAACGAUUUUUGUUGUUAUCAGG